GGGUCCACACAUAUGAGCCGUCCCCAUCAAUCCCCAGGCACGUGGAUAGGGCCCACUUCCCUUGGAUACAAGGCCCCAUGGUCCCAAAACGUCGCCAUACCGUGAUUGCAUUGUACCCACAUGAUGCAUAAGGGGAACUCCGUUCCAGAGAGAGCGGGGAUACAACCAAGCCCUGAUUCAAUCAGGUACUAGGCUUCUCCAUCCCAUACUAGGUAUGAUUUUAGUACUUUCAAACACUUGACCACAAUCACUAACACGGUUCGACCUUAGCACAUUCAUCUUCUAUACAGGCAUCCACCAAUUCAGAACCAAUUGCCCAGCCC
rnacentral:lncRNA from 1 species